rnacentral:rRNA from 1 species
AUUGAACGCUGGCGGCAGGCCUAACACAUGCAAGUCGAGCGGAUGAGAGGAGCUUGCUCCUUGAUUUAGCGGCGGACGGGUGAGUAAUGCCUAGGAAUCUGCCUGGUAGUGGGGGAUAACGUCCGGAAACGGGCGCUAAUACCGCAUACGUCCUACGGGAGAAAGCAGGGGACCUUCGGGCCUUGCGCUAUCAGAUGAGCCUAGGUCGGAUUAGCUAGUUGGUGAGGUAAUGGCUCACCAAGGCGACGAUCCGUAACUGGUCUGAGAGGAUGAUCAGUCACACUGGAACUGAGACACGGUCCAGACUCCUACGGGAGGCAGCAGUGGGGAAUAUUGGACAAUGGGCGAAAGCCUGAUCCAGCCAUGCCGCGUGUGUGAAGAAGGUCUUCGGAUUGUAAAGCACUUUUAAGUUGGGAGGAAGGGCAUUAACCUAAUACGUUAGAGUUUUUGACGUUACCGACAGAAUAAAGCACCGGGCUAACUUCUUGCCAGCAGCCGCGGUAAUACCAAGGGGUGCAAGCGUUUAAUCGGAAUAACUGGGGCGUAAAACGCGCGUAAGGGGGUUCGUUAAGUUGGAUGUGAAAGCCCCCGGGCUCACCCUGGGAACUGCAUCCCAAAACUGGCGAGCUAAAGAACGGAAGAGGGUGGUGGAAUUUCUUUGUGUAGCGGGGAAAUGGCGUAGAUAUAGGAAGGGACACCAGUGUCGAAAGGGGACCACCCGGGAUGUUAUUGACACUGAGGUGCGAAAACCCGGGGGCAAACCGGGUUUAGAUACCCUGGAGUUCCAAGGGCGAAUUCCACAUUGGGCUGCAGCCCGGGGAUUCACUAUUUCUGGGGGGGCGCACCGGGGGGCUCCCAAUUCUCCCUUUUGGGGAGUCUAUAUCGGCGCCCACUGGCCGUGUUUUUCAAAGC